AUUGAACGCUGGCGGAAUGCUUUACACAUGCAAGUCGAACGAUGAAGCCUAGCUUGCUAGGUCGAUUAGUGGCGAACGGGUGAGUAAUAUAUCGGAACGUAUCCACUAAUUGGGGACAACUAGUCGAAAGAUUGGCUAAUACCGCAUACGUCCUACGGGAGAAAGCUGGGGAUCGUAAGACCUGGCGUUAAUGGAGCGGCCGAUAUCUGAUUAGCUAUGUGGUGAGGUGAAGGCUAACCAAGGCGACCACCAGUAGCUGGUCUGAGAGGACGACCAGCCACCCUGGAACUGAGACACGGGCGAGACUCCUAUGGGAGGCAGCAGUGGGGAAUUGUGGACAAUGGGCGAAAGCCUGAUCCAGCCAUUCCGCGUGAGUGAAGAAGGCCUUCGGGUUGUAAAGCUGUUUCGCAAGGGAAGAACACUUACUUAAUAACACUAAGUGAGGUUGACGGUACCUUGAUAAGAAGCACCGGCUAACUACGUGCCAGCCGCCGCCGUAACAC
rnacentral:rRNA from 1 species